CGCGUAGGUGGUAGUGCAAGUCUGAGGUGGAAUCCUAUGGCUUAACCAUAGAACUGCCUUGGAAACUGCAUUACUUGAGUCAGUGAGGGGAGGGUAGAAUUCCUGGUGUAGCGGUGAAAUGCGUAGAUAUCAGGAGGAGGGCCGGUGGCGAAGGCGGCCCUCUGGCGCUGAACUGACACUGAGGCGCGAAAGCGUGGGGAGCAAACAGGAUUAGAUACCCUGGUAGUCCACGCCCUAAACGGUGGGUACUAGGGUGUAGGGCUCGUAAGGGUUCUGUGCCGAAGCGAAAGCAUUAAGUACCCCGCCUGGGGAGUACGGCCGCAAGGUUGAA
rnacentral:rRNA from 1 species